rnacentral:rRNA from 1 species
AUUGAACGCUGGCGGCAGGCUUAACACAUGCAAGUCGAGCGGGGACUUCGGUCCUAGCGGCGAACGGGUGAGGAAUGCUUGGGAAUCUGCCCAGUAGCGGGGGAUAACGUUUCGAAAGGAACGCUAAUACCGCAUACGCCCUACGGGGGAAAGGGGGGGAUCUUCGAACCUCUCACUAUUGGAUGAGCCCAAGUCGGAUUAGCUAGUUGGUGAGGUAAAGGCUCACCAAGGCGACGAUCCGUAGCUGGUCUGAGAGGAUGAACAGCCACACUGGAACUGAGACACGGUCCAGACUCCUACGGGAGGCAGCAGUGGGGAAUAUUGGACAAUGGGCGAAAGCCUGAUCCAGCCAUGCCGCGUGUGUGAAGAAGGCCUUCGGGUUGUAAAGCACUUUAAGCGAGGAGGAAUGGCUCCGGGUUAAUACCCUUGAGCAUAGACGUUACUCGCAGAAUAAGCACCGGCUAACUCUGUGCCAGCCGCCGCCGUAA